UUGAGUAUCAGUUACUCUGGCUUUACCAACAUAUGUUAAUGUAGUAAAUGUCUGAUUCCUUCAAUGUUUACUUUUUUCUGCAGGACUUUCACUUAUGGAAUAUCCGGGAUUGAAGUCUAUUGAUCCUGCUUAUGCAUUACCCGUGGAUGUGGUGAAUAGGAUUUUCUUUGGGAAGCUGAUUGGUGAUCAAAGUUCUUCUAAAGUGCUGUGAACGGUAACUGCGUUGGCUGGUCACUGCUAUUAUGCUAUGCAGUAUCUGAUUGUGUAAAAGUACUUGUUGAAGGAGUGUUUCUAUCAUUUUUGCCGUCUUGAUUCCGUUGAACUUCACUCCCUGUGAAUAUGUCAAAGUGUCUUGUUCUUAUUUUCUUGUUCAGGGCGAUUCUGUAGAACAAAAAUCAUUUGACUUUUAUGUGCAUGACUUUGUAA